GACGAACGCUGGCGGCGUGCCUAAUACAUGCAAGUAGAACGCUGAAGGAGGAGCUUGCUUCUCUGGAUGAGUUGCGAACGGGUGAGUAACGCGUAGGUAACCUGCCUGGUAGCGGGGGAUAACUAUUGGAAACGAUAGCUAAUACCGCAUAAUAGUAGAUGUUGCAUGACAUUUACUUAAAAGGUGCAAUUGCAUCACUACCAGAUGGACCUGCGUUGUAUUAGCUAGUUGGUGGGGUAACGGCUCACCAAGGCGACGAUACAUAGCCGACCUGAGAGGGUGAUCGGCCACACUGGGACUGAGACACGGCCCAGACUCCUACGGGAGGCAGCAGUAGGGAAUCUUCGGCAAUGGACGGAAGUCUGACCGAGCAACGCCGCGUGAGUGAAGAAGGUUUUCGGAUCGUAAAGCUCUGCUGUAAGAGAAGAACGAGUGUGAGAGUGGAAAGUUCACACUGUGACG
rnacentral:rRNA from 1 species